CCUGGUUUUACAAAGAAUUUGGCUGUAAGCUUGGAAUUUCCACACAGUUCCAUUGCCUGAGGUGAGGUGACCUCACAAUAGGGGAUCUGCAAGGAUGGAGCCUGGGACACCCCACUCUAGUCCAGUGUCCGAGGUCGAGCACAGGAGAGGCCUUUUUCCAAUAAAGGGAAAAUUGCAAAAGCAGAAGCAGAUACUCACCAAGGGGAAUGGCUGAGAGAAUAAGAAGGAGACUGAGCUACUCCACCCGACAGAGAAAGGAAGAGUGCUACAAAGAAGGAUAGGUGUCUCCAGUGGUGAGAAUAUGGAACUACAACUAUGUACUCUGGAAUUCUAGCCUGGGCGCUGCCUCUGACACACUGUGUGACGCUGGGAUGGUUGCCUUUUUAUCUACAGUUGUGGACUAUUGGGCCAAACUCCCUCCCGAGUAACUGUAUAUAAGUUUUUGGAGUUAUCCCAAGAAUACUUUCAGCGCCUUUCUAGAACCUUUACCACCUGACACCAACAUCCUCCCACGGUAUGUGGCUUUUUGGUCAGCCAAGCAGCAAGCAUAGCCAAGAGUCAACAGUUUCUGCCCAGCAACUGGUAGCUGCCUGUGAGUCCAAGCUAGGCCCACACACGGGUGAAAUGAGACACCUCUGAGCGUUGUGGAAAUGGAAGCUUCCUGCAAGAAUUUUUGUCUUCCAAAAGGAGAGCUUAAAUGGCACAUUAAGGGGCAGGUGCUGCCCUGGGAAAGCAAAAAGCAUUCAAUCAAAACAUUUUGGCAGCUCUCUGCAUCUCAUGGUAGCAAGAUUUCAACCAUAUUAUUAAGCACCUUUACUUUUUGCAGCUCUAUUUAUAAACAGGCUCUAGGAGGGGCUUGCAGACCCAGAAAUGAAUGGAAAGUGUUGAAUCAAUCCACUAGCGAAACCUACAGCUGGGGCUAUAUUUAAUCCAUUUUCCCCUCUUCAUUCAUGGCACCUCAUUGUGACUUAAAAAAACGAAUAGACAACAUGGCUCUGACCUCAUGAGAGAGUCUUCCACGUAAGUGCAGAACGGGGCUCAGAUUGCUUGAGCCUUAUGCUUCUUCUUCCUCUUCUUCAGUGCUUAGCCGAACGAUCAGCCAUAGCAAUUGUUCACCAUUUGGUCAGUUCCUGUGCAGCCACAAGGCUUAACAGGCUGAAAGUCCAAUGUCAGAACAGAUUUAAUGGACCCAUGCAGUAGGGGGAUCUGCCUCUGAGCUGCCUCCAACACUCGGUUGGUGGAAUUUUAUCCCAGAUGUUACAAGCUACCUAAGGUACAUCCACACUACCUGCCGGAUCGGCGCGUAGUGAUCGAUCUAUCAGGGAUCGAUUUAUCGCGUCUCAUCUAUACAUG